ACAGGCACGGUAUUGGUGGGACCAACACCAGUGAAUAUAAUUGGCAGAAAUAUAUUGACACAAAUUGGCUGUACUUUAAAUUUUCCUAUAAGUCCCAUUGAAACAGUGCCAGU
rfam:Simian immunodeficiency virus strain SIVcpz, complete genome.